UGCCGCUACCAACCUUGAGAUAUGAGUAAAUGGCUGCCCUACCCUUCAAACCGGAACGCAUUACUGCUUCGCGGCAGAAAUAGGCAAAGUGGUGGUAC